rnacentral:lncRNA from 1 species
CGUUUCUUCUCCAGGGUGGUGACUGUGCUGAGAGUUUCAAAGAGUUUAAUGCCAACAAUAUUCGUGAUACUUUCCGAGUAAUUCUUCAAAUGGGUGCUGUGUUGAUGUUCGGAGGUCAAAUGCCUGUCAUUAAGGUCAAUUCUUUAUUCAUUACUCACACGUUCUUUAUGAUUUCAAGUUAACCCUUUUCGAUUUUCUGGGUAAUUCAUUCAAUCUGGACUCAAUUUGAAUCCAAUUUUAUAUAAAGUAAGCAAUCUGAAUUAAAAUCUGAGAAAAAGAUUAUAAAGCUGAAACCUUUAUGUAUACUCAUAAAUGUUUCUCACUUUCUUGUGCUAUUAAAAUUGUGAUUUCUUCUCCUUAAAUUUCAAAAUGAUUAUAUGAAUCUCUGAAAGCCAACAAAUAUAACAUCUUCUCAUGAUGUAUAAUAUAAUAUUAUAUAAUAUAACUUUUUAUCCAACAACCAAACAUCUAAAGUAUCUCAAUUCUCUAAAUAAUACAAAGUUGAAAACGGGUGUGGAUCAUAAUCUAUUAUUUUACUAAUAUCUUAGUAAAAAAUUCAGCUAAGAAGUUGAUGCUAUUGAUUUAAGUUAAAAGUUUGAAGAGUAAAUUCGAUAAUUACAUGAACAGAUUGAAGAUCUUGUUCGUGUUUGAGUUCGAAAUUUUGAAUUAAUUUUAGAUUCUUAUCAAAUUUGAUGAAAACAGGUAGGAAGAAUGGCUGGUCAAUUUGCGAAACCCAGAUCAGAUAAUUUUGAGGAGAAAGAUGGAGUGAAGCUACCAAGUUACAGAGGAGAUAAUGUAAAUGGCGACGCCUUUGACUUAAAGUCAAGAACACCAGACCCUCAAAGAUUGAUCAGAGCAUAUUGUCAAUCAGCAGCCACUCUUAAUCUUUUGAGGGCUUU